rnacentral:rRNA from 1 species
GACGAACGCUGGCGGCGUGCUUAACACAUGCAAGUCGAACGGAAAGGCCUCAGCUUGCUGGGGUACUCGAGUGGCGAACGGGUGAGUAACACGUGGGUGAUCUGCCUUGCACUCUGGGAUAAGCUUGGGAAACUGGGUCUAAUACCGGAUAUGAACUGCCUUUAGUGUGGUGGUUGGAAAGUUUUUUCGGUGCAAGAUGAGCUCGCGGCCUAUCAGCUUGUUGGUGGGGUAAUGGCCUACCAAGGCGUCGACGGGUAGCCGGCCUGAGAGGGUGUACGGCCACAUUGGGACUGAGAUACGGCCCAGACUCCUACGGGAGGCAGCAGUGGGGAAUAUUGCACAAUGGGCGGAAGCCUGAUGCAGCGACGCCGCGUGGGGGAUGACGGACUUCGGGUUGUAAACUCCUUUCGACAGGGACGAAGCUUUUUGUGACGGUACCUGUAUAAGAAGCACCGGCUAACUACGUG